AUGAACCCUACCUCGGCGCCGGGUCCUGACGGCCUUCCGGUUAAAUUCUUCCAGACCUUCUGGAACGUGAUUAAACCGGAGGUCAUGGCCAUCUUCGAAGAGUUCUACGUUGGUUCCAUCGACCUCGGACGCCUCAACUUUGGUAUCAUCUCUCUCAUUCCUAAGGUUCCUAGCGCUUCCGACAUCCGCCAGUUUCGCCCGAUCACGGUCAUUAACGUGAUUUUACGGAUUCUAGCAAAAGGGUACGCCAAUAGGGUGACCCUUCUUGCUAACCGCGUUACCAACCCCAACCAGUCCGCCUUCAUCCAAGGCCGGUAUAUCCUGGAUGGGGUCCUUGUUCUUCAUGAAGUCCUCCAUGAGGUCCGCACCAAACACCUCAAGGCGGUUUUCCUGAAGAUCGAUUUCCAUAAGGCCUAUGAUACUGUUAGAUGGUCCUUCCUUUGGAAAGUUUUGCUCCGGAAGGGCUUCGACGACCGUUGGAUCACCAGAGUC
rnacentral:rRNA from 1 species